rnacentral:rRNA from 1 species
CGAAGGGGGCUAGCGUUGUUCGGAUUUACUGGGCGUAAAGCGCACGUAGGCGGAUCGUUAAGUCGGGGGUGAAAUCCUGGAGCUCAACUCCAGAACUGCCUUCGAUACUGGCGAUCUUGAGUCCGGAAGAGGUGAGUGGAACUCCUAGUGUAGAGGUGGAAUUCGUAGAUAUUAGGAAGAACACCAGUGGCGAAGGCGGCUCACUGGUCCGGUACUGACGCUGAGGUGCGAAAGCGUGGGGAGCAAGCAGGAUUAGAUACCCUGGUAGUCCACGCCGUAAACUAUGAGAGCUAGCCGUUGGGGAGUAUACUCCUCAGUGGCGCAGCUAACGCAUUAAGCUCUCCGCCUGGGGAGUACGGUCGCAAGAUUA